UAGAGUUUGAUCCUGGCUCAGGAUGAACGCUAGCGGCAGGCUUAACACAUGCAAGUCGAGGGGCAUCGGGAGGAAAGCUUGCUUUCCUUGCCGGCGACCGGCGCACGGGUGAGUAACACGUAUGCAACCUGCCCUCUUCAGGGGGACAACCUUCCGAAAGGGAGGCUAAUCCCGCGUAUAUCGGUUUCGGGCAUCCGAGAUCGAGGAAAGAUUCAUCGGAAGAGGAUGGGCAUGCGGCGCAUUAGCUUGACGGCGGGGUAACGGCCCACCGUGGCGACGAUGCGUAGGGGUUCUGAGAGGAAGGUCCCCCACACUGGUACUGAGACACGGACCAGACUCCUACGGGAGGCAGCAGUGAGGAAUAUUGGUCAAUGGGAGAGAUCCUGAACCAGCCAAGCCGCGUGAGGGAAGACGGCCCUAUGGGUUGUAAACCUCUUUUGUCGGAGAACAAAACCCGGGACGUGUCCCGGACUGCGUGUAUCCGAAGAAAAAGCAUCGGCUAACUCCGUGCCAGCAGCCGCGGUAAUACGGAGGAUGCGAGCGUUAUCCGGAUUUAUUGGGUUUAAAGGGUGCGUAGGCGGUCCGUUAAGUCAGCGGUAAAAUUGCGGGGCUCAACCCCGUCGAGCCGUUGAAACUGGCAGACUUGAGUUGGCGAGAAGUACGCGGAAUGCGCGGUGUAGCGGUGAAAUGCAUAGAUAUCGCGCAGAACUCCGAUUGCGAAGGCAGCGUACCGGCGCCAGACUGACGCUGAGGCACGAAAGCGUGGGGAUCGAACAGGAUUAGAUACCCUGGUAG
rnacentral:rRNA from 1 species